CACGUAGGGCGCAAGCGUUAUCCGGAAUUAUUGGGCGUAAAGAGCUCGUAGGCGGUUUGUCGCGUCUGCCGUGAAAGUCCGGGGCUUAACUCCGGAUCUGCGGUGGGUACGGGCAGACUAGAGUGCAGUAGGGGAGACUGGAAUUCCUGGUGUAGCGGUGAAAUGCGCAGAUAUCAGGAGGAACACCGAUGGCGAAGGCAGGUCUCUGGGCUGUAACUGACGCUGAGGAGCGAAAGCAUGGGGAGCGAACAGG
rnacentral:rRNA from 1 species